UGGGGAAUUUUGGACAAUGGGCGCAAGCCUGAUCCAGCCAUGCCGCGUGCGGGAAGAAGGCCUUCGGGUUGUAAACCGCUUUUGUCAGGGAAGAAAUCUUCUGAGUUAAUACCUCGGGAGGAUGACGGUACCUGAAGAAUAAGCACCGGCUAACUACGUGCCAGCAGCCGCGGUAAUACGUAGGGUGCAAGCGUUAAUCGGAAUACUGGGCGUAAAGCGUGCGCAGGCGGUUUUGUAAGACAGAGGUGAAAUCCCCGGGCUCAACCUGGGAACUGCCUUUGUGACUGCAAGGCUUGAGUGCGGCAGAGGGGGGAUGGAAUUCCGCGUGUAGCAGUGAAAUGCGUAGAUAUGCGGAGGAACACCGAUGGCGAAGGCAAUCCCCUGGGCCUGCACUGACGCUCAUGCACGAAAGCGUGGGGAGCAAACAGGAUUAGAUGCCCUGGUAGUCCACGCCCUAAACGAUGUCAACUGGUUGUUGGGAAGGUUCCUUCUCAGUAACGUAGCUAACGCGUGAAGUUGACCGCCUGGGGAGUACGGCCGCAAGGUUGAAAC
rnacentral:rRNA from 1 species